UGGCGGUGUUGGUGGUUGUUAAGAUGAAGAAGUGUUAAUCAAAUAAGGUUCAAGAGUAGGAUUCCAACUAGUCCAGCGUCCCAACAGAGUGUAAUUCACUGCGAAACGGCAAUCAGGCCUUAAAGGCAUAAAACUUUGCUCAGUGCUCGGAGCACAAAAAUCAUGCUCGAAACAUGAAAUCCAGCAAUUUGAUUGGUUGAUUUUCGAGUCUGAGUACAAAAAUCAUGCUCGAAAGUUUUAUGACCGUGAGGCCUGAGUUAGAGAUACUAACGUUGACUAAUGUGUAUACUAUAGUAUACCACAUACGUACAUUGUAACGUAGUUAAUCGACCCUAGACUGGAUGACUUAUGAGAUAAUAUAGAACAGAAACUAAUAACUAUUUGCCUAAAACAUGAACAUAACAAAAAAAACUAAAAUUCAUAAAAAUGUAUUAACGAAUCCACUGAUAUGGCAGGAACACACUUGUCGGUUCAAAUCGGGAUAUUGCACCAGGGUACAUUUUUGGCACAUGUUUUAUUGUACGUUUUAUUUUUCCUUAGAUUUAUUGAUAGACCUUUUUGAAGAAAUAGGAAGAAUCGUGUUCGGUAGGAUUAUGUUGCAAUGUCGUUAAAAGAGUAGAUCAAUGAUUGCUAUCAACAGAG
rnacentral:lncRNA from 1 species